AAGGUUUCCGUAGGUGAACCUGCGGAAGGAUCAUUAUUGAAAACUUUGUAGGUUGUGGUUGAGCUGGCCUCUUGAGGCAUGUGCUUGCUAUCGACCUUCAAAAAUCUUCAUCCCACCUGUGCACAUUUUGUAGGAAGAGGAAGAUUGCAAGUAAAGGAACUUAUGGCCUAGUUAGCUCUGGGCCUGUUGCUUGAAAGGGAUCUUUUUUUCUAUCCUAUGUUUUUACAUACACAAUUGAAUGUUUAGAAUGUCUUUCUUUUGAAGAGUGUAGCAACUCUUUCAAAAAAAACAUAAUACAACUUUCAGCAACGGAUCUCUUGGCUCUCGCAUCGAUGAAGAACGCAGCGAAAUGCGAUAAGUAAUGUGAAUUGCAGAAUUCAGUGAAUCAUCGAAUCUUUGAACGCACCUUGCGCCUCUUGGUAUUCCGAGAGGCAUGCCUGUUUGAGUGUCAUUAAAUUCUCAACUUCAAUAGUUUUUAUAACUUGUUGAAGCUUGGAUGUGGAGGUUUUUGCUGGCUUUCAUUAGUUGGCUCCUCUUAAAUGCAUUAGUGGAGACUGCUUGUGGUCCACAAUUAGUGUGAUAAUUAUCUACGCUAUUUGAUGGUAGCUGCACGCUUUGUAGUGUUUCGAUUGGGAAGCUGCAUGAAUAAUGCUCUUUCUGCUUCAAUGAACCUGCAAAAGUGAAGUCAUUCUGCUUCUAACCGUCUUCUUGCAAGACAAUUUCUUGACUUUUUGACCUCAAAUCAGGUAGGACUACCCGCUGAACUUAA
rnacentral:rRNA from 1 species